UUGGGGGGUGGGGUUUAGAGGGAGAGAGAGUGGGGCGGGUGGGCAGAGGGAGAGGGAGAGAGGGUCUUAAGCAGGCUGCACACUCAGCACAGAGCCCUAGGAAAGGUGAGGCUCCAUCUCAGGACCCUGAGAACAUGACCUGAACCGAAAUCCAGCUGGACACUUAACUGACUGAGCCACCCAGGCACCCCACUCUUCAUGCAGUAUUUUCAAUAUGUUCUCCGUUUUCCAUGUUCUCACAGAUGCUGUAUUUUAACUAAUAAACUUCUAUUUUAAUUAGUUUUGUCCUAAUUCCAUUUAGCAAGAACCGGAGCCUCAAUCUCUGAUUUCAUUAGCCAAGCUCAAUAUAUUGUUGGUCAUAACUAAAAAUUAAUUGCCUAAUUGAAUUGGUAAGAGUCACUUUGGUCACCUGCACUGUAAUUGUCCAGUCCCCUGUUUUGGAGGUACCCCAAAUUAGCAGCUUGUCUUGGAGGACGAUCUUGGCGUGCCCUCAUUUUGAUUUCAAAGCCAGUGAAGGAUUCGAGUUUUUGCAGAAGAAAUCCUAGGAGAUAGGACAUCUUUGAGAUAACUGGGCUUGAGGAAAUCCGAAUCAAAAUCAUAGACCUGUGUGGAUAAGGAACCAAGGCUCGGCUCGCCAGGCACGACGCCAACAACAGGAAACCGUUCCCUAAAGGCUGUCUGCAUGAAAGACGAACUGAAGACUAUCCGGCUCCUGCCCCACGUUUUAAGUCUCCCGUAUUUUUCAGCCCAGCAUCUAGCUCCUGCUCUAGAGCAACCAACCUCUUGAACUUUCCACCGGAAGGUGCAACCUUUCUGAGGUCACAGCUAUGUCUUACUCCCCGCAACCCCCUGACAUAGUCGAUGCUCACCAAAUAUCUAUUGUUUGCAUCAUAUUGGUUGAGCAGAGUCAUAGAAAGUAUCCUGACUUACUUUUUUAAUUAGGAUUUUAUUUAUUUAUUUAUUUAUUUAUUUGUGAGAGAGAAAGAGCAUGAGCGAGGUGAGGGACAGAGGGACAAGCAGGCUCCUCGUUGAGCGGGAAGCCCAAUGUGGGGCUCGAAACUACUACUGCAGGGGAGACAUGACCUGAGCCAAAGGUAGGUGCUUAACCCACCGAGACACCCAGGCAGAUAUCCUGAUAAGAUAUCCUGAGUUCUAGCACAGGUCCUGGGGUGCCUGGAUAGGAUAAUAUAUUUGAAGCACAAAUGGAGAACUAUGAAAAGAGUUAAAUAAUCCUCCUUGGAUUCAAAUAGCCUAGAUCCAAGCACAAUUUCAGUUGGCUUCAGUGUGGCCAUGUAGGCCAAAAAUUUGUCAGCCUUAGGCAGAAAUUAGAGCCACGAUGGGGAGCAUGAGUGGUCUGGGUAGUGUGCGGGUUCGCAAGUCACCAGAGACAGUGGCUGAGGGACAGAAUUCGAGCUCACGUCUGGCCAGUAGUGGCAUCCAGGAAGUUUACAUGGAACAGCUUUCAUUAUUCUGUGGCAUCCUUGAAGGUCCCAGACGUGUCCCAACACUUAUUUCCCUUAAAGGUAAAGAAAGGUGGUUUCUGAUCUUUGGCAAUUACAAACAAUCUACAAAACAAUGCUACCAACAAUGCUACAACAAAUCACUAAAAAUUAUUACGCCACCUUUCUUGACUCUACUUAUGGGUUCCUUAGAAUAUUUAAGACACAAUCAUUAUCUUUCAGAAGCUUCAUUCUAGGGAAUGGACACCAUAAGCAGCCUGCAAUUCUAUAGGAAACAAGCUAGAAUACAGAAAGGAAUAAAGUCAUGUUGAAUACUGAAUGGGGAGCAAUUACCUCUCCAAGAGUGUAUGACAGGGAAAAGCUGCAAGAAUAUAACCUUUUCACCAGGCUUGCAGGCUGUAUAAGAGUUUGCCAGAUAGACAAGAGCAGAAAGGAAUGCCAGGCAGAGGGAACAGUACAGUAUCAGAAACCACCCAAUUACCAUUCCAGAAUCUUGUUCAUUCUUGGUAUUGAGUCAAGUUAAUUAACUGAUACCAUUGUACCACCAAGUGAUUUGAGUACUGGUUCCAAAUUUUCUUGGUCCUCAGAUAGAAAGCAAAAGAUUUCCUUAACUUCUAUGUCAUUCCCAGUGUUGAUUCUAGCCAGAGGGAAAACAUCUGCUGUGGAGACAAAGCCACUUAUAAAAGACAUGGUACAGCUGUUGGUCCAAGAAAUAUAUACACAGGGCACAUGCUGACUAAUGGUCACUCUGGAGUGCUGUGCUGAGUAGGACAUGUCGGGCACCAGCAGGAAGGCAGACCAUGGUAAUUAGUGAUGUUUGCAGUGGGUUUUGGAGGGGUAGAAUGAUGGCACACAUGCUACUCAAUUGCAUUCAACACCCUAAGUUAUUUGCCCCUGACCUCUGUCUACCAACUGAAACUAGGACUGUCUCAUAGCACAACUCCAAGGGUCCCCAUUCAUGCCAUGCAGUCAUGUUCUCAGGGGGGCCACUCAUAGGAACUGUGUAAAUGGUGCCCCUUGGUGCCAUACAACAUGACAGUAACUAAAGUUCUGCUUAACUUGACAUGCUAACCCCCUAAAACACAUGCCUGCAUUUCUCUGUAGGUCUGCACUAUUCUUGGCUUUAUUACCAACCAGACUCCUCUCCGUGUUCAUCAGAAGCCCCCUAUUGUUUUCCAUCUUGAAGUUCAGACACCCAGACAAAAACUGACUUCUCGUUUUCAGUUCCACUUCCAAAGUCCCAGAGAAGGAUUCUAAUUGGUCCAGCUUGAGUCAAGAAUCAACCUCUAGACCAAUCAGCUGUGAAGAGUAGGAAGGAUCAUGCUUUACUAAUACGGAAACUUGUUGUAACUCAAGUUCUUAGAAACAGGAGAUUCUUAUGUCACAAACUAAUAAAUGUCUAUUUCAUAUACAGGUUCUUCCAGGGCAGGAUCCAUGGAUUACUUAUGUUUGAUCAGCUUAUAAAACUUGUAUGUAAUUGGGUCCUUCAUAUAUUUCACUGAAGGACCAGGUACUUUUUGCUGAAUGAUGAAUGAAUAUAUGUAUUAUUAUCUCCAUUUUUUACAUUUUUUAUUAUUUUUUAAAGAUUUUAUUUAUUUGUCAGAGAGAGAGAGUACACAAAGGAGAGCAUGAACCAGGGACGGGGAGAGAGAAGCAGGCUCCCUAUCAACUGUCGAGCAAGGAGCCCAAUGUGGGACUUGAUCCCAGGACCCUGGGAUCAUGCCCUGAGUGGAAGGCAGAUGCUUAACUGACUAAGCCACCCAAGUGGCCCUAUUGUCUCCAUUUUAAUAAGGUUAGCUCAGUUAAUUAUAUUGCCUGAAGAAAUAUAGACAUUAUAGGAUCAACUAGAAUUUCAGUGUCUGGUUAUAAACAAGACUUUUUCCACUACAUGAAGGAGUACAAAUGGAGUCUUAAAAGAGAUGUAGGUGAUAUGGCAUAAUCAAAUAAGCUUUUGCUUUGGAACAAACAGACCCAGCACGCUCUUUAGUCUUUGUCAAGUUGCUUUACCUUUUCUGAGCCUGUAUAUUCUUCAGCAAAGUGACAACGAUGUCAUCUACAGCACAAAGUUGUUAUGAAGCAUAAACCCGUAAAGAAUGUCAAAUGUCUGGCAUAUCAGAUUUUCGAGAAAUAUUAAUUAGAGUUCCUUUUUGUACUAACUGUCUUUUUUGGAGUUGUUUCUUAAUUUUCCAGCCAUCUUUUACGUCUGCGUGCCAUCCUAUUUGACUCUACCAUGGUUUAUUUUGUUAGCAGGUAGACUCUGAGAGACCAAGCAUUAUGUCUAUACAACUUACUCUUUUUAAAGAAUACCAAGAAGGCCAACUGUGCUUAGGAAAUGUAAGCAUACCAUUUGAUGGUGACAAUGCCUGGAUUACUGAAACAGCCUUCAACUGGUGCCACACAGACACUCUCCAUUCCAUCUCUACACAGCCAAAAUUUUUUUCCAAAUCAAAGAUUUGAAAAUCAAAAUCCUAUUAUAGUUCUCUACUUCUUAAAAUGCUUCAAAUUCCUCCCAUUGCUUUUAGUAUGACACCCAAAGUCCUUAGUAUGGCCACAAAACUCUAUGUCUCCUCAGUCUCUCAGCCUUAGCCACAGGGGCCUCCCCUCAGUGCCUCCACCAUGCUCCCUCAGCACAGGGCGUUUGUACACACUGCUUCCCCUGCCCAGAUGCUCUUCCCCUCUCCCUCCCUGUCACCUAACUCCUCAUUUAGUGUGCUUCCUCAGGAAAAUCUUUCCACAUCUUAUUUGAUCUAAAUUAGGUCCCCCUCAUAGCCGAGAGUAGCUAUAGUCCUUUUUCUGUGCAGCACUUGGCACUCUGGUAACUUACAUUUAUUUAUCUGAUCAUUUGAUUACCUGUAUCACUACUAAAUAAAUGGUCCACUCCAUGAAAACAGGCGCUGUGUCUCCUUUUGCUCACCACACUUCUCCCAUGACUAGCACAGUGAGAUGAUGUACUGCAGAGGUACAGAAAAUAUUGAAGAAAUGUAUGUUGUACAAUAAAAAUAACCAAAAACUUAUUUCUUAUUGCUGUACAACCAACUGUACAGAGAGCUCUAAAUUAUACUGUUUAGAGCUGUACAACUCUAAAACAUAGUAGUUUUGAACAAUAAGAAUCGUUUAUUACCUCUCAGAGUUUCUGAAGUUCAGGAAUUUGGAGGUGACUUCCUGAGUAUCUUUUGCUUUGAAUCUUUCAUGAGGUUGUAGUCGGAAGUCAGUGGGGGCUACAGUCAUCUGAAGGCUUGUUUGAGGCUGGAGAUCUUCCCAAGAGCCUGGAAGUUUCACUGGCUCUUGGGAAGAAGCCUCAGUUCUUCUCCACCUAGGCCUCUCCAUGGAGUUUCUUGAGCAUCCUCAAGACAUGGCAGCUGGCUUCUACCAGGGAAAACUAUCCAAGUCUGCAAUUUUAUGGCUUAACAUUGGAAGGCACAGACAGUCAUAUGUACAGUAAUCUUAUGGUCACACAGGUCAGCUCUGAUUCUUGGUAGGACUACACAAAGACAUGAAAACCAGCAGGCAUGGUUGACUGGAAGCCAUCUUGGGGAUGGGUUACCAUAAAGGACUCUGUUUAACUCUUGUAUCUUCAUACCCUUGAUGUAUGGAAAACAUUUGUACAAAGAAAGCAGAGCAUUCUUCCCUGAGGCACCUCUACCUCCCUGGGAAUUAUACUGGGUUUCUAAAUUCAGAAACUCCAGUGAAAGUCUCAAAAAAUAACUUUCUUAUACACAAUUAAUUAAUAAGUUACUGUUUCUCAAAGCCUCUGACCCAUUCAAGUAACUAGGAGGUCACAUUCAUUUUCCUAUUCUAUCACUUACAUACUGCUUCAGAACAAAUUACCACAAAACUUAGAGGCUUAAAACACACAUUUAUCAUCUCACUCUUACUAUGGGUCAAGAAUUUGGGCAUAACUGAGCUGUGCCUUCUGGCCCAGGGUCUCUCUUAGGCUGUGAUCACAGUGUGGGGCAGGAGCCAUACACAUCUCAAGGUUCAGCUAAGGCUGGAUCCCUUCUGCACCCUGCUUAGACUAAGGGCCUCAGUUUCUCAACUGCUGUUCCCCAGAGGCUCUUGGCCACAUGGCUGCUCAGUAGUGUAGCUCACAACACAGCAGCUGGUGUCAUCAAAAUGAGCAAGGGAGAGGAAGUGAGAGAAUGCUAGUAAGACAGAAAUCACAGCCUUUUGUUACCUAAUCUUGGAAGUAACAUCCCAUUACUUUUGAAGUAACAUCCCCACUCUCUCUCUUUUUUUAAAAAGUGUUUGUAGCUUAUUUUUUUAUUGCUAUUUUUUUUAAUUUGCUGUAUUCUCUUCAUUAGACACAAGGCAGUAGAUCCAGUCCGCAUUCAAGGACAGGGGCUCACGCAAGCGUGUAAAUACUAUGAAGCUGGGGUCAUUGAGACCCCGUGGCUGCCUACCACCCCCAGUAACAUCCCGGAGUUAGGGGAGUGUCUCUCUGCUUAGCAGAGACUUCCACUGCCCAUCCCAACCCACUCUAUAGAUAGCCUAACCUCGGGUUUCUGGAAGCAGUCAUGGGAAAAAUUCUCUAUAUUCUCACCAAUUUCAAGAAUUCAUCUCUUUUUUAAGAAAAACAAAACAAAACCCUACAGUUUUUCUGAUUUCAAAAGUGAGACAAACUUGCAGUGCCUAGCUUUCUCAGUCGGUGGAACAUGCCAAUCUUGAUCUUGGGGUUAUGAGUUCGAACACCACAUGUGGUGUGGAGUUUACUUAAAAUAAAAAAUUAAAAAAAAAUUUUUUUAAAGCAACACAAGCUCAUUUUAAGAUUCUGACAAUACUGAAAUAUAAAACUAUAAAUAAAAGUUCCCUAGCUUUCCUCCCACAUCUCAGAGAUAACUUAGCAAUGUUAAUACUGUGCUAUACACGUCCAUCCCUUUUUCCAUUACAUGUGCUAAUAUCAUAUUCUUAUUAAUUUAUCAAAAAGUUAUCAAACGUGGGAUGCCUGGGUGGCUCAGUCGGUUAAGCUGCUGCCUUUGGCUCAGGUCAUGAUCCCAGGGCUCCUUGCUCAGCGGGGAGCCUGCUUCUCUCUCUGUCUCUGCUUGCGCUCUCGCUCUCUGACAAAUAAAUAAAUAAAUAAAAUCUUUUUUUAAAAA